UUAAAAAGCUCGUAGUUGAAUUUCGGGAUUAGUACGUUGGUCGUGCCUUAGGUACGUACUGGUGUUACUGGUUCCUACCUUCUGACGAACCAUCAUGUCAUUAAUUUGGUGUGGCGGGGAAUCAGGACUGUUACUUUGAAAAAAUUAGAGUGUUUAAAGCAGGCUCGCGCUUGAAUACAUUAGCAUGGAAUAAUGAAAUAGGACGUUGACCCUAUUUUGUUGGUUUCUAGGAUUGACGUAAUGAUUAAUAGGGAUAGUUGGGGG
rnacentral:rRNA from 2 species